rnacentral:rRNA from 1 species
CCUACGGGUGGCUGCAGUGGGGAAUAUUGGACAAUGGGCGAAAGCCUGAUCCAGCCAUGCCGCGUGUGUGAAGACGGCCUUCGGGUUGUAAAGCACUUUCAGUGGGGAAGAAAGCCUUGGGGCUAAUACCCUCGAGGAAGGACAUCACCCACAGAAGAAGCACCGGCUAACUCCGUGCCCGCAGCCGCGGUAAUACGGAGGGUGCGAGCGUUAAUCGGAAUUACUGGGCGUAAAGCGCGCGUAGGCGGUCUGAUAAGCCGGUUGUGAAAGCCCCGGGCUCAACCUGGGAACAGCAUCCGGAACUGUCAGGCUAGAGUGCAUGAGAGGAAGGUAGAAUUCCCGGUGUAGCGGUGAAAUGCGUAGAGAUCGGGAGGAAUACCAGUGGCGAAGGCGGCCUUCUGGACUGACACUGACGCUGAGGUGCGAAAGCGUGGGUAGCAAACAGGAUUAGAUACCCUAGUAGUC